rnacentral:rRNA from 1 species
UACGUAGGCACCAAGCGUUGUCCGGAUUUAUUGGGCGUAAAGGGCUCGUAGGCGGUUUGUCGCGUCAGGAGUGAAAACUCGGGGCUUAACCCCGAGCCUGCUUCUGAUACGGGCAGACUAGAGGUAUGCAGGGGAGAACGGAAUUCCUGGUGUAGCGGUGAAAUGCGCAGAUAUCAGGAGGAACACCGGUGGCGAAGGCGGUUCUCUGGGCAUUACCUGACGCUGAGGAGCGAAAGUGUGGGGAGCGAACAGG